rnacentral:rRNA from 1 species
AACGAACGCUGGCGGCAGGCCUAACACAUGCAAGUCGAACGCCCUAGCAAUAGGGAGUGGCAGACGGGUGAGUAACGCGUGGGAACGUACCCUUCGGUUCGGAAUAAGCCGGGGAAACCUGGUCUAAUACCGGAUACGUGCGAGAGCAGAAAGAUUUAUCGCCGAAGGAUCGGCCCGCGUCCGAUUAGCUAGUUGGUGAGGUAAUGGCUCACCAAGGCGACGAUCGGUAGCUGGUCUGAGAGGAUGAGCAGCCACACUGGGACUGAGACACGGCCCGGACUCGUACGGGGGGCAGCAGUGGGGAAUAUUGGACAAUGGGCGCAAGCCGGAGCCAGCCAUGCCGCGUGAGUGAUGAAGGCCCUAGGGUUGUAAAGCUCUUUCGCCAGGGACGAUAAUGACGGUACCUGGAUAAGAAGCCCCGGCUAACUUCGUGCCAGCAGCCGCCGUAA